rnacentral:rRNA from 1 species
GACGUAGGGCGCGAGCGUUGUCCGGAUUUAUUGGGCGUAAAGAGCUCGUAGGCGGCUUGUCGCGUCGACUGUGAAAACCCAGGGCUUAACCCUGGGCUGGCUUCCGAUACGGGCAGACUAGAGGUAUGCAGGGGAGAACGGAAUUCCUGGUGUAGCGGUGAAAUGCGCAGAUAUCAGGAGGAACACCGGUGGCGAAGGCGGUUCUCUGGGCAUUACCUGACGCUGAGGAGCGAAAGUGUGGGGAGCAAACAGG